rnacentral:rRNA from 1 species
GAUGAACGCUGGCGGCGCGCCUAAUACAUGCAAGUCGAGCGAACGGACGAGAAGCUUGCUCCUCUGAUGUUAGCGGCGGACGGGUGAGUAACACGUGGAUAACCUACCUAUAAGACUGGGAUAACUUCGGGAAACCGGAGCUAAUACCGGAUAAUAUUUUGAACCGCAUGGUUCAAAAGUGAAAGACGGUUUUGCUGUCACUUAUAGAUGGAUCCGCGCUGCAUUAGCUAGUUGGUAAGGUAACGGCUUACCAAGGCAACGAUGCUUAGCCGACCUGAGAGGGUGAUCGGCCACACUGGAACUGAGACACGGUCCAGACUCCUACGGGAGGCAGCAGUAGGGAAUCUUCCGCAAUGGGCGAAAGCCUGACGGAGCAACGCCGCGUGAGUGAUGAAGGUCUUCGGAUCGUAAAACUCUGUUAUUAGGGAAGAACAUAUGUGUAAGUAACUGUGCACAUCUUGACGGUACCUAAUCAGAAAGCCACGGCUAACUACGUG